rnacentral:rRNA from 1 species
ACGCUGGCGGCACGCCUAACACAUGCAAGUCGAACGAAGUAGCAAUACUUAGUGGCAGACGGGUGAGUAACAUGUAGGUAUCUACCCUUUGGCCUGGAAUAACACGAGGAAACUUGUGCUAAUACUGGAUAAGUCUUUACGGAGAAAGCUUUAUGCACCAUUGGAUGAGCCUGCACUUGAUUAGUUUGUUGGUGGGGUAAUGGCCUACCAAGACUUUGAUCAAUAGCUGAUUUGAGAGGAUGAUCAGCCACAUUGGGACUGAGACACGGCCCAAACUCCUACGGGAGGCAGCAGUGGGGAAUCUUGCACAAUGGAGGAAACUCUGAUGCAGCGAUGCCGCGUGAGUGAAGAAGGCCUUUGGGUUGUAAAGCUCUUUCGUCGGGGAAGAAAAUGACUGUACCCGAAUAAGAAGGUCCGGCUAACUUCGUGCCAGCAGCCGCGGUAAUACGAAGGGACCUAGCGUAGUUCGGAAUUACUGGGCUUAAAGAGUUCGUAGGUGGUUGAAAAAGUUGGUGGUGAAAUCCCAGAGCUUAACUCUGGAACUGCCAUCAAAACUUUUCAGCUAGAGUAUGAUAGAGGAAAGCAGAAUUUCUAGUGUAGAGGUGAAAUUCGUAGAUAUUAGAAAGAAUACCAAUUGCGAAGGCAGCUUUCUGGAUCAUUACUGACGCUGAGGAACGAAAGCAUGGGUAGCGAAGAGGAUUAGAUACCCUCGUAGUCCAUGCCGUAAACGAUGUGUGUUAGACGUUGGAAAUUUAUUUUCAGUGUCGCAGUGAAAGCGAUAAACACACCGCCUGGGGAGUACGACC